GUGGGGAAUAUUGGACAAUGGGCGCAAGCCUGAUCCAGCCAUGCCGCGUGAGUGAUGAAGGCCCUAGGGUUGUAAAGCUCUUUCACCGGUGAAGAUAAUGACGGUACCCACAGAAGAAGCCCCGGCUAACUUCGUGCCAGCAGCCGCGGUAAUACGAAGGGGGCUAGCGUUGUUCGGAUUUACUGGGCGUAAAGCGCACGUAGGCGGAUCGUUAAGUCGGGGGUGAAAUCCUGGAGCUCAACUCCAGAACUGCCUUCGAUACUGGCGAUCUUGAGUCCGGAAGAGGUGAGUGGAACUCCUAGUGUAGAGGUGGAAUUCGUAGAUAUUCGGAGGAACACCAGUGGCGAAGGCGGCUCACUGGCUCGAUACUGACGCUGAGGUGCGAAAGCGUGGGGAGCAAACAGGAUUAGAUACCCCGGUAGUCC
rnacentral:rRNA from 1 species